CAGCCCUGUGUCCACUGUAAAAAGGCAGUGGCUGUCACUUGGCCACAUUCUUUGCAUAAUAGGAUGCUGAGCUCAAGUUAGCCUAACACUUGCGUAAGUGGGUUACCAGAAUGCCAAGUGCCAGGGGCUUGCACUUUUAUAAGUAGAUGCACUAUGAGGGAAGUUAAAAGCACAGGCUAUGCAGCCAAACUGCCUGGGUUACAAUCCAGCUCCUCCAAAUACUAGCUGUAUGAUAUUGAACAAAUCACCUGCCUUCUCCCAGCCUUAGUUUCACCAUGCGCAUUAAACAUUAAUAAUACUUUCUCUCCUGGGUUGUUUUGAUGAAAGGAUAAAAUAGUAUGCCAAUGCUGGUGUUUAGUUCAAAAACUGGCACGUAAAAUGUCUCAGAAGGCGCUGGUUCUUCAAAACCCUGAAUCCCUCACCGCCAUUGCCACCGGCUCCGCAACAGCACCGGCUUCCGAGAUCCUGUCAGACCUAGUCUCUUUUAGCCCAACGCGGAUCCCUCCGCGCUUGCGUCACUUCCGGGAGAAACUGCCGCUUCCUUAAAUGCCCGGAUGCAACUGUCAUGUCCGUCCAUCAGUGAGGGCCCGCAGUGGAAAUCGAGUCGAGGAUUCCAAAAGGCGGCCAGAGCUUGGGCCUUCAGAGUGGGAUAUUAUGGGACAAAAGAUGAGUGUUUCGGGCGGCAAGGUCUCCCAAACAGCCUAGGAACUGCGCCUCCGCGCUUCCGGUUAACUUGAUGCCAAGUUUUGUAAAGAAGUCUUAGUCUUGUCGGAAUGUACUCAAGGGGGUGGUGGGGGCCGAGCCCCCGUUUCCUACCCGGGCCUUCUUUGUGUGCUGGGUUUUUAUUCCCGUCACUUCCCGCAGUCCAGUAGCUGGGCGGGCGGUGCAGCACCCAGCUGGGGAGGAAGGGGGCGGACCGGACUCUAGGAUGUAGAGAGGUGGGGCGCGCCGAUGGCUCGGGAGCGGUCAAGACUCCAGGGCGCCUCGCUGAGAGCAACCUCGAGCUGUAGUUCGCGGGGCCGUAGCACCGUGACUCGGCGGGCGCCCCACUGUGGCCUGUCCUCUCACCGUGGGGAGCUUAAAGUUGGUCUUUUCAUGCUGACCCAACCACACUCCAUCAUAGUCGGCCCUGCCCUGUAUCGACUUUGAUCAUUGAAAAUAUUUAGGGUGGGUAUAGUGCAGUUGGUGAUUGUUUUUUUAAAACACGUAAACAUAAACUUAAUGGUAGUUUUAAGUUUCAGAAUUAGUAGGAUAAGUUCACGUAUUGUCAUCUCAUUGUUUUAAGGUUUAAAUUUGGAUGUCAGUGCUUGUGAGAGUUUAACAAAAGCAGUCUUUAGACCUGUUAUCUAAAAUUUUAAAUAACCAGUAUGAGAAAAUAGGUUAAUAUUUAAGAUGGUAAGAAAGUUGUUGAACUUUGCUCCUGGUCACUUGUCAUAAUAAAACACGAAGACACCAAAGUUAUACCUCAAGACAAGGUAUUAACUACCAAGAGCUUCUGAAAAUGUAAUCAUUCAGAUAUAUUAAUUUGAAUUGUUUUUCCUGCGUGGAGGGUGUCCUAUAGGCUUUGUCAUCGGGUGAAACGGGAACAGAUGUGAGUUGAUUCAUUAAUGAUUCCUAGUAGUUAAAAUUAGGUCUGGGUGGAUAGUAGUUAAAAUUAAUUUUAAGUGCCACCUGUCUUUUGGAUUCAAAAUCUCAGUUGAACUGGAUUCAGAAUUUCAGUUGAAACCACUUUUAUUUGCUUGAAAUAUGUAAUGAUGAAUGCAUAUAUAGAAUGUUAACUACUUUCAUAGAAACAAAAAUGGGGGAACAAAUAUUUAAAGCAGGUUUAUGUAAUAUAAAACCCAUUUCCUUGAAGUCCAUUCCAACUCAUAGCAACCGUGUGGGACAGAGUAGAACUGCCCCAUAGGGCCGCUGUGAGUCAGAAUCUACUUGACAGCAAUGGGUUUGGGUUUUGGUUUAAUCUUUAUGGAAGCAGAUUGCCAUAUCUUUGUCCCACAGAGUGGCUGGUGGGUUUGAACCACCAGCCUUCCUAGUUUGUAGCCCAGCACUUAACCACUGCACCACCAGGGCUCCUCUACACAAUAUAAUGUGUUAUAAUUUGGACUUUUAAUUAAACCUCAAUGAUUAGAAGAACUGACCCAGAGAGGCUUAAAAACAAAAAAGAAAUAUAUUUACCCACUAUGUGAAUAUCCCAGUGUUUGAACAAAAAAUAAAAUGCCAUUAUAAAGCACCUUGGAUUUGUUUUCACAAUUACCUGUAUGUGCAAAGCACUGAGUUGAUAAUAGAUGAGAAAACACUUAAAAAAUUAAAGAAAAAAGUAAUAUAUAAAUCAUGAACACUUAUUAUUCUCACUCUCUGGUCAAAUCACGUACACUUGUGGCUCAUUUAACCUCUAAAACUUGUGGUUCUUGUACAUGCAUUAAUACAUAGAAUAGUAUUUUAAAGAAACAAAAAUAAUUUUCUGUUUAUACGUUUUCAAUCUUUUGUUCCUUGUUUCUAUGUUAUUUGAGCUUGUGCUUACCGAUGCAUUUUCACACAGAGCUUUUAAUAAUUUGAUCAUCAUAGAUGGCCUUGAUUCUUAAUUUUUCUAUGAUUUUUUGCAGGUAGUUCUACUGGGUUCUUGGCACAGUACCACAUGAACAUGGACAAAGCAUUGUUAAGGUCAGAAAGAUCAGUUUCUGCAAUUGAAAGGAAAUACCAGAAGCCAUGUGAUUAUAUUGAUAAAGGCCCCAAACAGGAAAUUCAUGUCUGCUUCCCAGAAAAUUAAGAAUUAAAGCCACAGAAGUCAACCAUCAAGUCUUCUCUCCUUUAUAGGAAAUGUGCAGAUGAGCCACGGAAACCAGCACAUUUCCAAAGCUGGCAGUGAAUGGCAGAAACGUAGUAGAGAAGAUAUGAACACUGAGUAAGGCACGGAUCAGAUGUCACUUUGAGCUCUGCCUACCCAAUUCUGUCCUUCUGUUACCAGGUGAAAAAUGUCAUCCUUAAUAUAUACUAAGAACCCUCACAAAUCUAUAAGACCAUCAAUCUAACAGAAAAAUGGGUAAAAAAAAAAGGGAAGAGGCAAUUAAAAAAAAAAAGAUUCUAAGUUCAUUAAAAAUUGAGAUGUUAAUCAAAUCAACACAAGCACUUGUCACAAGCUAUUACUACUACAAGCCUAUAAUCUUACUUUUGGCUUCAUCCUGACUCUAAGAUCAUUUCUUAGUAAUACAAAUUCUUGAGUAAAUUAUCAGAAGCCUCAUCUCCAAGACUGCUUCUAUGGUCUCCACAAGUUCCAUGCUGAUCUCAGAAGCCCAGCAGAGCUGGAGUAUGCAUGUGGAGGAGUUGAAAUUUGACAAUUUCCCAGGACAAAGCAGGGCGCAUUCUAAAAUGAUCCAGAAUCUUUAGACAGAGGGGGUAAGGGUAAAGAUAACAGAGCAGUUUAUAGAGGGAAAUUAACUAUUACAACGCCAACCGUAUUUAUAUUUCAAAUUGCUAUGUGCUUUUAAACGUAUUACCCCCACUUGAUCCUCGCAACGACUCUGUAAGUUUAUUUACAUUUUAUUAUAGAGAAGUAACCUGAGACUCAACAUCCUAUUGCCAGUAAGAAAUUCAAGCCCAGGAAGUCCAUCACUACAGUCCGUGCCCUUAAAUACCAUACACCACUCUCCAAUCAGAAAUAAUGUAUUAGGCCCUUUCUUCCUACUUCUAAUAGUACAGACAACUAGGCAGCUGCAUAUGCAUUAGCACCUGAACUUACAAGCUAUGCUCCAUCUUUGGCUAAACUACAUACAGCCUCCCAACCUGGAAUCCAACUGUCACCCACUCCUGUCAGCUAUACACUUCUCUUCACUUCUAAAAAAAGGCUACCCAUCCCAAAGAAGGGAGUAGCUGGGGGAAGGAGACACACAGAGCUCAAUCAUUCUGUGAGGAGAUAAACACUAUUUGAAUAAACCUUAUUAUAACCAACUGGAGAGCUAGAGUCCUAAGUUGGUAUCCAACGGUAAAAUAAGAGUAUAUGAAUGUAAGAAACACCGGGAUAAACUCCAAAAAGUUAAAAGAGACAUCAGAUACUGAAAGCUGCUUAUCAGCAUUGUAAGAGUACUGAAUAUAUUGUGGACUGCCAAAUGAACAAACAAAUCAGUCUUAGAAGACAUACAACCAGAAAGCUCCUCAGAAGUGAGGAUGGCAAAACUUUGGCUCAUUUACUUUGGACAUGUCAUCAGGAAAGACCAAUCGCUAGAAAAGGAUAUCAUGGUUGGUAAAAUAGAGGUCAGCAAAAAUGAGGAAAACCCUCAAUGAGAUAGACUGACACAACAGUCCCAACAAUACCAAUGAUCAUGAAGAUGGCAGACUGGGCAAAGUUCUAUUCUUUUAUACAUAAGGUCACCAUGAGUCAGAAGUGACUUGAUUAAAAAAAAAAAAACAACAACUAAUAAUAAUCACUUCUGUUAUACAGUUACAGACUGGGAAGAGGAGAGAUUGCUGCUGGCUACUGAAGGGCCAGGCUCUUAAGAUUCCUGUCCCUAUGUCAUGCAUUGAAUUAUGUCCCCCCCAAAAUCAUGGCUCAGUUUGGCUGAGCCACGAUUCCCAAUGUUAUAUGGUUGUCCUCCAUUUUGUGAUUGUAAUUUUCUAUUAAAGAGGAUUAGGGUGGGAUUGUAACCCCUGAUCCAACGUAAAGGGAGUUUCCCCGGGGUGUGGCCUGUACCACCUUUUAUGUCUCAAGAGAGAAAAAGGAAAGGGAAGUGAGCAGAAAAGAGGGGGCCUCAUACCACCAAGAAAGCAGUGCCGGGAGCAGAGCAUGUUCUUUGGACCUGGGGUUCCUGGGCAAAGAAGCUUCUAGUCAUGCGAAGAUUGAUGAGAAGGCCGACAGAGAGAAAAAGCCUUCCCUUGGAGCCAAUACCCUGAAUUUGGACUACUUUACUGUGAAGAAAUAAAUUUUUCUUUGUUAAAGCCAUCCACUUGUGGUAUUUCUGUUACAGCAGCACUAGAUGGCUAAGACAUCUAGCUGAUAGCUUGAACUCUUCUGACCUCUGCGUACCUGGACAGGACUGAGACCCUGAAGACUACUUAUCCCAACAAUUCUCACUCUCCAGUGGAAAACAAACGAUGAUAAACGCAGUUCUUCUUUCUUGGGGAGAGGGAGGUCAGGGGUGUUAAUAGAACAAGGGAGGAAGUAUCUGCCUCUCUCAGUAAUUAGGUAAUAAACAAUUCAUAUCUCAACCACACCAAAUACAGAUCCUAAGGCCUAGUUACUGGAAAUGAGCCAAAUAUACCACUGUAAUAGCUACACGUUAGAUAGAUUUAACCAAGAAAAUAACUGAUCAUGACAGACAAACUAUGAACUAUUUAAUUUAAAAAGAAGAGCAAUUAAAAAUUCCAUUCUAACUAACCUAAGAUGGUAUACAAAGUACAUUUCUACCUAACUGUGGAAAUUACAAGAAUUUGGUAUCAAUGCCAACCACUGCAUGGUAGAAUUCUCAUCAGAUUAUUCAACUAGAGUCCUAAGUGAACCUGAAAUAGAACUUGUAGUAACAUGUAAUUUAUGAAUAUCUAGUUUAGUAACCCUUAACUCUUUUAGUAAGUCGGUAGUAAGUAAACUUUAGUCACAAAUAUAAGUCAGUCUAUGAACUAUGAUCAUUCAUUACUUCUAGCAACCAAGAUGAGCCUUUCCACUAAUCUUUAGAAUCGUAGGCAUAGAGUAGGUGGGGCUUGGUAGUGGCAAAAUGACAGUGAUGUCCACAGAAGGCAAAAGGUUAUCCUGUUAAUGACGUUCUCAUCCCAAGAUUUUAAAAUAACCUUACUUGCAUGUUUGACUUCCAGUUCUACAAACUGAUCCAAGAGUAAACUAACAUUCUAUAGGAUAACAAAAACCACUCCACUGUAGGCUCUCACACAUGUGACCUGUCACAUUUUUCCUAUCCUAUGCAAACUGUUAAACCACAAAGGGCUUCACAAUCAGAAACACAUACAGUAUGGUAAUAUGUAAACACUUAUGAGGAUGAAACCUUAAUUAAAGGUUAAAAUAAAUGUAGAAGCAUUACCUCUCUGGCUUCUGGGGUGGAAGAGAAGAAGGUGGGUGACGUGUCUGGAUCUGAGAGGACAGCAGAUUAAAGAGGAAAUAUACAUAUUCAGGAAACAGAUAUGUUUUGGUAAGAAUUCAGCUCCAGGCUAUGGUGAUAAGAGUUGGAAGAUGAGACUGGAAAGGUGGUGGGGUCCAGAUGAAAGGUUCUAAAUGCUACAGUAAGGACUUUACACCUUAACCCAUAGACGGUGAGAAGUUAUCUCUGGGAUUGCAUCUUAUUUAUACUCAGCUGGUUUCACAAAGGAUUUGGAGGAACUUACAAAGAAACAUUCAAAAGAAAAAAAUAAGUAGUUGAGGUCAUCAGAUCAAAGGAAGGAUAGGAAAAUAAAGCCUGAGAAGAGAGUGCCAGAAA